CAGACCACCGAAGAGGCAACAUGUAAGCUGUCACACUGAGAAAGGUGUGCACAGCAAGUGCAGGAAACUUCUUGAUGAAGACAUCCCAAAAUUCCACCCAAACUGUUUAGCGAGAGAUGCAGAGGAUGCUCUGCCUACGCUAUGAUCAGGACCACCUGCUUCUUGCCAAAGUCACAGGCUGGCUGGACCCCAGGGUGGAUCCAGAUAAAUCUAGAAGAAGAAGAAGAAGAAGAAGAAGAGGAAGAGGAAG